GAUGAACGCUAGCGGGAGGCUUAACACAUGCAAGUCGUGGGGCAGCACGGGGUAGCAAUACUCUGGUGGCGACCGGCGCACGGGUGAGUAACGCGUAUGCAACUUGCCCUGUACAGGGGGAUAGCCCGGAGAAAGUCGGAUUAAUACCCCAUAAAGAUAUUGAGAGGCAUCUUUUAAUAUUUAAAGUUUCGGCGGUACGGGAUGGGCAUGCGUGACAUUAGCUAGUUGGUAGGGUAACGGCCUACCAAGGCUUCGAUGUCUAGGGGUCCUGAGAGGGUGAUCCCCCACACUGGUACUGAGACACGGACCAGACUCCUACGGGAGGCAGCAGUGAGGAAUAUUGGUCAAUGGCCGGAAGGCUGAACCAGCCAUCCCGCGUGCAGGAUGACGGCCCUAUGGGUUGUAAACUGCUUUUGUACCUGAAGAAACCUGGUUACGUGUAACCAGUUGCCGGUAAGGUAUGAAUAAGCAUCGGCUAACUCCGUGCCAGCAGCCGCCGUAAAAC
rnacentral:rRNA from 1 species